rnacentral:misc_RNA from 1 species
UAUUGUGUCUAUGAUGCCAAUUAUUCAUUGACAAAUAUAUUGCUUUCCUGUUUCAUUUGAAUUUGUAAAAGUAUUGCUUUCAAUUUUUCAGGUUAUAAGAUAGUAUGCGAAAUAUUUUAGGUACCCUGUUCAAUUUUCUAUCUUUAGAUGAUAAAAUGAGAUUUAAUUCAAUCUUUUCACAGGUUUUUAAAGAAGAUUCUUACUCACUUUGAUUUAAUUGGCUUCACUUGUAUCUUGCUGUAUAUGUACAUUGAUAUUAUUUUUGGCAUAUAAAUGUG